GAUGAAGAACGUAGCGAAAUGCGAUAAGUAAUGUGAAUUGCAGAAUUCAGUGAAUCAUCGAGUCUUUGAACGCACAUUGCGCCCCUCGGUAUUCCGUGGGGCAUGCCUGUUCGAGCGUCAUUUAACCCCUCAAGCCUAGCUUGGUAUUGGGUGCUUGUCCCGCCUCUCGCGCGGCGACUCACCUCAAAGUCAUUGGCAGCCCGCAUCUCGCCGGCCGUGAGCGCAGCACAGACGCGCUCUUGGCAACGACGGAUCGGCUCUCCAAAAGCUUAUUUCAACCACUGACCUCGGAUCAGGUAGGGAUACCCGCUGAACUUAAGCAUAUCAAUAAGCGGAGGA
rnacentral:misc_RNA from 1 species